GGGCUCGUAGCUCAGUCUGGUAGAGCACUCGGCUCUUAACCGAGUGGUCGCGGGUUCGAAUAUUGGCGCUCGUCAACGAACGUCAGUAAGAAAGUCCCGUCGGGCCCA
rnacentral:tRNA from 1 species